GAUCAUGGCUCAGGACGAACGCUGGCGGCGUGCUUAACACAUGCAAGUCGAACGAAGAGCGAUGGAAGCUUGCUUCUAUCAAUCUUAGUGGCGAACGGGUGAGUAACGCGUAAUCAACCUGCCCUUCAGAGGGGGACAACAGUUGGAAACGACUGCUAAUACCGCAUACGAUCCAAUCUCGGCAUCGAGGAUAGAUGAAAGGUGGCCUCUAUUUAUAAGCUAUCACUGAAGG
rnacentral:rRNA from 1 species